rnacentral:lncRNA from 1 species
AACUUAUAAAGGGGAAACUGACAUUUAUGGUAUAGUUGCCAAUGAGAUAACAUUCUGGAAACUUAUCACCAGAGUCCAAGUCUCUGUUAGCAGUGACAGUUAAAUUACAAGUCACUUUACAUACAUCAACAAUCAAUACAUUCCAUUGUUUUAAGGCAAAUGAGGAAAAUAAGAGUAACAAUAGCUUUUGCCUUACUACAUGCACAAGAGAACAUUAGAAAUUAUAAUAUAAAUAAGUAAAUAUCAGAGGCAAAAAAGACAGGACUUAUAGCCACUGGACUUUUAGUAAAGUAUGCCCUUACUAAUCCUUAGAGGAGCUGCUGUAUACUAGAAAAAAUGAUGUUGAUGAUUUAACCCCAUCAAUUAGCAUUUUAGCAUUACAUUAUUGUCAAUUGCUAUCUGUUCUAUUUGUUCCAACCUGUUAUGAAGAGUCAAAAUGUAUACCUAGGGUGGGAAUUAAACCCAUGUACGUUCAUUUACUUUAUUGUUCUUUGUGUACAUAAAAUGUACAUGUACAUGAAAUAUAUCAAAUGCAAAAAAUGCUGUAAUGUAUCAUUACACCCUCACUAGUUAAGGACCAAGUAAAGGAAGUCCCUGCACCUACCUAGACGUAUUUCUUGGGUAAGAUGUAUUAUAUAACUCUUGAAAGUAUAACACGAUAAAGGUUAUUGGUAAGUAUAUAGUAACAUCAACGUGCAAUUCAGGUAAACACACUUUCAAACAUAAACAAUCUACCACGUGUUUGUCUGCUGUGCUUGAAUUCAAAACGACCCAUCAGACUUAUUUACACGAAUUUUUGCUCAAGCAGACAGUUAAAUAUGUCCGUUUACCUUAUGGGGUCUGUUAAGAAUGGAUUUGCUGUUAUAAAUUGUG